rnacentral:rRNA from 1 species
GACGAACGCUGGCGGCGUGCUUAACACAUGCAAGUCGAACGGAAAGGCCCUGCUUUUGUGGGGUGCUCGAGCGGCGAACGGGUGAGUAACACGUGAGUAACCUGCCCUUGACUUUGGGAUAACUUCAGGAAACUGGGCUAAUACCGGAUAGGAGCUCCUGCUGCAUGGUGGGGGUUGGAAAGUUUCGGCGGUUGGGGAUGGACUCGCGGCUUAUCAGCUUGUUGGUGGGGUAGUGGCUUACCAAGGCUUUGACGGGUAGCCGGCCUGAGAGGGUGACCGGCCACAUUGGGACUGAGAUACGGCCCAGACUCCUACGGGAGGCAGCAGUGGGGAAUAUUGCACAAUGGGCGGAAGCCUGAUGCAGCAACGCCGCGUGCGGGAUGACGGCCUUCGGGUUGUAAACCGCUUUCGCCUGUGACGAAGCGUGAGUGACGGUAAUGGGUAAAGAAGCACCGGCUAACUACGUG